rnacentral:rRNA from 1 species
UGGUGCCGAUGCGCUUAGGGGAGACACCCGUUCCCAUCCCGAACACGAUGGUUAAGACUUAAGCGGCCGAUGGUACUAUGCUGGAAACGGCA